UAAGCUUGAUAUGACUAGGUUCGAUGCGAGAUCGAUACCCGACCAUUCUUUGUUGUAUUGUGAGUUAAACAUCAGUGCCUCAUUACCGUCGUGUCAUACCGCAGGAAAUCGUAGUCCUGAAUUUAUUAAGUUUGAUGUAAAAAAACAUCCAUUCAAAUUUUUGUCACGGCGAUGAGAUACAUUUACGACUUUUAGAUACUAUCAAUGGUCUUGAAACAAAUGAAGUAUCCCAAUGUAAUAUUG
rnacentral:lncRNA from 1 species